rnacentral:rRNA from 1 species
UCCGGUUGAUCCUGCCGGAGGUUACUGCUAUCGGUGUUCGCCUAAGCCAUGCGAGUCAUAUGUAGCAAUACAUGGCGUACUGCUCAGUAACACGUGGAUAACCUGCCCUUGGGACCGGCAUAACCCCGGGAAACUGGGGAUAAUUCCGGACAACGCAUAUGUGCUGGAAUGCUUUAUGCGUGAAAUGGAUUCAUCUGCCCAAGGAUGGGUCUGCGGCCUAUCAGGUAGUAGUGGGUGUAAUGUACCUACUAGCCAGCGACGGGUACGGGUUGUGAGAGCAAGAGCCCGGAGAUGGAUUCUGAGACAUGAAUCCAGGCCCUACGGGGCGCAGCAGGCGCGAAAACUUUACAAUGCGGGAAACCGUGAUAAGGGGACACCGAGUGCCAGCAUCAUAUGCUGGCUGUCCAGGUGUGUAAAAUACACCUGUUAGCAAGGGCCGGGCAAGACCGGUGCCAGCCGCCGCGGUAACACCGGCGGCCCGAGUGGUGAUCGUGAUUAUUGGGUCUAAAGGGUCCGUAGCCGGUUUGGUCAGUCCUCCGGGAAAUCUGAUAGCUUAACUAUUAGGCUUUCGGGGGAUUCUGCCAGACUUGGAACCGGGAGAGGUAAGAGGUAC